rnacentral:rRNA from 1 species
UACGGAGGGUGCAAACGUUGCUCGGAAUCAUUGGGCGUAAGCGCACGUAGGCGGUCUGUUAAGUCGGAUGUGAAAGCCCCGGGCUCAACCCGGGAAGUGCAUACGAAACUGGCGGACUUGAAUAUGGAAGAGGGUCGCGGAAUUCCCGGUGUAGAGGUGAAAUUCGUAGAUAUCGGGAGGAACACCAGUGGCGAAGGCGGCGACCUGGGCCAAUAUUGACGCUAAUGUGCGAAAGCGUGGGGAGCAAACAGG